GGGGGUAUGGCGCAGCGGGAGCGCACCUGCAUGGCAUGCAGGGGGUCGGGGGUUCGAAUCCCCCUACCUCCACCA
rnacentral:tRNA from 1 species